rnacentral:rRNA from 1 species
GGAUCAUUACCGAGUUUACAACUCCCAAACCCCUGUGAACAUACCACUUGUUGCCUCGGCGGAUCAGCCCGCUCCCGGUAAAACGGGACGGCCCGCCAGAGGACCCCUAAACUCUGUUUCUAUAUGUAACUUCUGAGUAAAACCAUAAAUAAAUCAAAACUUUCAACAACGGAUCUCUUGGUUCUGGCAUCGAUGAAGAACGCAGCAAAAUGCGAUAAGUAAUGUGAAUUGCAGAAUUCAGUGAAUCAUCGAAUCUUUGAACGCACAUUGCGCCCGCCAGUAUUCUGGCGGGCAUGCCUGUUCGAGCGUCAUUUCAACCCUCAAGCACAGCUUGGUGUUGGGACUCGCGUUAAUUCGCGUUCCUCAAAUUGAUUGGCGGUCACGUCGAGCUUCCAUAGCGUAGUAGUAAAACCCUCGUUACUGGUAAUCGUCGCGGCCACGCCGUUAAACCCCCAACUUCUGAAUGUUGACCUCGGAUCAGGUAGGAAUACCCGCUGAACUUAAGCAUA